rnacentral:rRNA from 1 species
UGUAUAAUGGGUCAGCGACUUAUAUUCUGUAGCAAGGUUAACCGAAUAGGGGAGCCGAAGGGAAACCGAGUCUUAACUGGGCGUUAAGUUGCAGGGUAUAGACCCGAAACCCGGUGAUCUAGCCAUGGGCAGGUUGAAGGUUGGGUAACACUAACUGGAGGACCGAACCGACUAAUGUUGAAAAAUUAGCGGAUGACUUGUGGCUGGGGGUGAAAGGCCAAUCAAACCGGGAGAUAGCUGGUUCUCCCCGAAAGCUAUUUAGGUAGCGCCUCGUGAAUUCAUCUCCGGGGGUAGAGCACUGUUUCGGCAAGGGGGUCAUCCCGACUUACCAACCCGAUGCAAACUGCGAAUACCGGAGAAUGUUAUCACGGGAGACACACGGCGGGUGCUAACGUCCGUCGUGAAGAGGGAAACAACCCAGACCGCCAGCUAAGGUCCCAAAGUCAUGGUUAAGUGGGAAACGAUGUGGGAAGGCCCAGACAGCCAGGAUGUUGGCUUAGAAGCAGCCAUCAUUUAAAGAAAGCGUAAUAGCUCACUGGUCGAGUCGGCCUGCGCGGAAGAUGUAACGGGGCUAAACCAUGCACCGAAGCUGCGGCAGCGACACUAUGUGUUGUUGGGUAGGGGAGCGUUCUGUAAGCCUGUGAAGGUGGCCUGUGAGGGUUGCUGGAGGUAUCAGAAGUGCGAAUGCUGACAUAAGUAACGAUAAAGCGGGUGAAAAGCCCGCUCGCCGGAAGACCAAGGGUUCCUGUCCAACGUUAAUCGGGGCAGGGUGAGUCGACCCCUAAGGCGAGGCCGAAAGGCGUAGUCGAUGGGAAACAGGUUAAUAUUCCUGUACUUGGUGUUACUGCGAAGGGGGGACGGAGAAGGCUAUGUUGGCCGGGCGACGGUUGUCCCGGUUUAAGCGUGUAGGCUGGUUUUCCAGGCAAAUCCGGAAAACCAAGGCUGAGGCGUGAUGACGAGGCACUACGGUGCUGAAGCGACAAAUGCCCUGCUUCCAGGAAAAGCCUCUAAGCAUCAGGUAACAUCAAAUCGUACCCCAAACCGACACAGGUGGUCAGGUAGAGAAUACCAAGGCGCUUGAGAGAACUCGGGUGAAGGAACUAGGCAAAAUGGUGCCGUAACUUCGGGAGAAGGCACGCUGAUAUGUAGGUGAAGCGACUUGCUCGUGGAGCUGAAAUCAGUCGAAGAUACCAGCUGGCUGCAACUGUUUAUUAAAAACACAGCACUGUGCAAACACGAAAGUGGACGUAUACGGUGUGACGCCUGCCCGGUGCCGGAAGGUUAAUUGAUGGGGUUAGCGGCAACGCGAAGCUCUUGAUCGAAGCCCCGGUAAACGGCGGCCGUAACUAUAACGGUCCUAAGGUAGCGAAAUUCCUUGUCGGGUAAGUUCCGACCUGCACGAAUGGCGUAAUGAUGGCCAGGCUGUCUCCACCCGAGACUCAGUGAAAUUGAACUCGCUGUGAAGAUGCAGUGUACCCGCGGCAAGACGGAAAGACCCCGUGAACCUUUACUAUAGCUUGACACUGAACAUUGAGCCUUGAUGUGUAGGAUAGGUGGGAGGCUUUGAAGUGUGGACGCCAGUCUGCAUGGAGCCGACCUUGAAAUACCACCCUUUAAUGUUUGAUGUUCUAACGUUGGCCCGUAAUCCGGGUUGCGGACAGUGUCUGGUGGGUAGUUUGACUGGGGCGGUCUCCUCCUAAAGAGUAACGGAGGAGCACGAAGGUUGGCUAAUCCUGGUCGGACAUCAGGAGGUUAGUGCAAUGGCAUAAGCCAGCUUGACUGCGAGCGUGACGGCGCGAGCAGGUGCGAAAGCAGGUCAUAGUGAUCCGGUGGUUCUGAAUGGAAGGGCCAUCGCUCAACGGAUAAAAGGUACUCCGGGGAUAACAGGCUGAUACCGCCCAAGAGUUCAUAUCGACGGCGGUGUUUGGCACCUCGAUGUCGGCUCAUCACAUCCUGGGGCUGAAGUAGGUCCCAAGGGUAUGGCUGUUCGCCAUUUAAAGUGGUACGCGAGCUGGGUUUAGAACGUCGUGAGACAGUUCGGUCCCUAUCUGCCGUGGGCGCUGGAGAACUGAGGGGGGCUGCUCCUAGUACGAGAGGACCGGAGUGGACGCAUCACUGGUGUUCGGGUUGUCAUGCCAAUGGCACUGCCCGGUAGCUAAAUGCGGAAGAGAUAAGUGCUGAAAGCAUCUAAGCACGAAACUUGCCCCGAGAUGAGUUCUCCCUGACUCCUUGAGAGUCCUGAAGGAACGUUGAAGACGACGACGUUGAUAGGCCGGGUGUGUAAGCGCAGCGAUGCGUUGAGCUAACCGGUACUAAUGAACCGUGAGGCUUAACCUU